rnacentral:rRNA from 1 species
UACGAAGGGGGCUAGCGUUGCUCGGAAUUACUGGGCGUAAAGCGCACGUAGGCGGAUUGUUAAGUCGGGGGUGAAAUCCUGGAGCUCAACUCCAGAACUGCCUUCGAUACUGGCGAUCUCGAGUUCGGGAGAGGUGAGUGGAACUGCGAGUGUAGAGGUGAAAUUCGUAGAUAUUCGCAAGAACACCAGUGGCGAAGGCGGCUCACUGGCCCGAUACCUGACGCUGGAGGUGCGAAAGCGUGGGGAGCAAACAGG